rnacentral:rRNA from 1 species
GAUAAACGCUGGCGGCGUGCUUAACACAUGCAAGUCGAACGGAAAGGCCACAGCUUGCUGUGGUACUCGAGUGGCGAACGGGUGAGUAACACGUGGGUGAUCUGCCCUGUACUUCGGGAUAAGCUUGGGAAACUGGGUCUAAUACCGGAUAGGAAUCACAUGUGGGUGUGUGGUUGGAAAGCUUUUGCGGUAUGGGAUGAGCUCGCGGCCUAUCAGCUUGUUGGUGGGGUAAUGGCCUACCAAGGCGUCGACGGGUAGCCGGCCUGAGAGGGUGUACGGCCACAUUGGGACUGAGAUACGGCCCAGACUCCUACGGGAGGCAGCAGUGGGGAAUAUUGCACAAUGGGCGCAAGCCUGAUGCAGCGACGCCGCGUGGGGGAUGACGGCCUUCGGGUUGUAAACUCCUUUCGUCAGGGACGAAGCGAAAGUGACGGUACCUGGAUAAGAAGCACCGGCUAACUACGUG